rnacentral:rRNA from 1 species
GAUUAACGCUGGCGGCAUGCCUAAUACAUGCAAGUCGAACGGAAGCAGCAAUGCUUUAGUGGCGAACGGGUGAGUAACACGUAGGGAACCUACCUAUACGACGAGGAUAACUACUGGAAACGGUAGCUAAAACUGGAUAGGAUCAAUUGAGGCAUCUUGAUUGAUUUAAAGAUCCUUCGGGAUUACGUAGAGAUGGCCCUGCGGCGCAUUAGCUAGUUGGUGAGGUAACGGCCCACCAAGGCGACGAUGCGUAGCUGAGCUGAGAGGCUAAACAGCCACACUGGGACUGAGACACGGCCCAGACUCCUACGGGAGGCAGCAGUAGGGAAUUUUCGGCAAUGGGGGAAACCCUGACCGAGCAAUGCCGCGUGAACGAUGAAGGUCUUCGGAUUGUAAAGUUCUGUGAUUGGGGAAGAAUGGUAUUCUUAGGGAAUGAGGAGUACAUGACGGUACCCGAUUAGAAAGCCCCGGCUAACUAUGUGCCAGCAGCCGCGGUAA